GAUGAACGCUGGCGGCGUGCCUAAUACAUGCAAGUCGAGCGAAUGGAUUAAGAGCUUGCUCUUAUGAAGUUAGCGGCGGACGGGUGAGUAACACGUGGGUAACCUGCCCAUAAGACUGGGAUAACUCCGGGAAACCGGGGCUAAUACCGGAUAACAUUUUGAACCGCAUGGUUCGAAAUUGAAAGGCGGCUUCGGCUGUCACUUAUGGAUGGAACCGCGUCGCAUUAGCUAGUUGGUGAGGUAACGGCUAACCAAGGCAACGAUGCGUAGCCGACCGGAGAGGGUGAUCGGCCACACUGGGACUGAGACACGGCCCAGACUCCUACGGGAGGCAGCAGUAGGGAAUCUUCCGCAAUGGACGAAAGUCUGACGGAGCAACGCCGCGUGAGUGAUGAAGGCUUUCGGGUCGUAAAACUCUGUUGUUAGGGAAGAACAAGUGCUAGUUGAAUAAGCUGGCACCUUGACGGUACCUAACCAGAAAGCCACGGCUAACUACGUGCCAGCCGCCGCGGUAA
rnacentral:rRNA from 1 species